rnacentral:tRNA from 1 species
ACAGCAGUAGCUCAAUUGGCAGAGCACCGGUCUCCAAAACCGGGGGUUGCAGGUUCGACUCCUGCCUGCUGUG